rnacentral:lncRNA from 1 species
UCAUUCUGACACUUCCUAUUCCAAGGACAGUCAUCUGAGAGUUGUUUCCACAUUUGACAAAAUGUUGAUCUCCAUAUGCCAAUUCUACAAACAUACCUUUAUCCUGACACAUAUGAUUAGAACACCCUGAAUCCAAAAACCAUGCAUCACUCCUUUUGGAUUCCUUUUCUACAGUAGCCAUCAGAAGAAGCUCUUCUGUUUCAUCUAACUCUGCAUAAUCUGCUUCUCCUUUGUUCCAUAGAGGACAUUCAUACUGAAAAUGUCCCAAGUGGUGGCACUUGAAACAUUCCACAGUGGCUUUUGAAGAAAAUUGUCUUCCUCUUCCCCGUCCACGACCACGAUAUGUUCCUCUUCCUCUUCCUCUACUGCUUUCUGAUGUGAGNACUUGUUCAUUAUCUUGGUAGACCUUUUUAAAUUUUUGCUCAUGGACUACCAAGGAGCUUUGAAGUUCAUCAAUAGACAUUGUCUCUGUGUCCUUUGACUCUUCGAUCGAAACCACGAUAUAGGUGAAACCGAUAUAGGUGAAACGUGGUGUCAACGUUCGAAGUAUUUUUUCAACCACCUUUGAAUCAGACAUAAGUUCUCCAUUGCUUCUCAUUUUGUUUGCCACUNCCAUGACUCUAGCAAAAUAUUCUGUGAUGGUUUCUAUUUCUGUCAUUUCAAGCAACUCAAACUCCCUUCUCAAUGCAUUGAGCAUUGAUUUCUUCACACAAUCAUUUCCUCCAUAUUUUCUUUUCAAAGAAUCCCAAACCAUCUGAGAUGUGCUCCUAUCCAGAAUUUGUUCGAAAAUUGAUCUAUCAAUGGCCCUGAAGAGGUAAUGUUUGACUUUGUGAUCUUCAAUUUUGGAUUUCUCCAACUGCUCUGAUUCUUCACUAGACAGAACAGUACCCUCCACAGGCUCCUCAGCACCAUUUUUAAUCAGAUUCCAGAGACCCUUGGC